rnacentral:lncRNA from 1 species
ACAGAGAUGAUACGACAUACAAAUUUGAAAAUUAUACAUUAACUCUAGAAAUAAUACUUAUAAGACUUAUGAGUUAUGAAACUCAUGUGAAGCCAUUAUUAGAGAUCUUAGAAUAAUGGAAGGAAUUUACCGUUUGGUGAAUAUGAAACUUUCAUAUUCCGAUUAAGGACGUAUAGGAGAUUGACUUAUGUUGUUAAUUUUGGCUCGAUCUAGUCUCGGAAAGCUUUGCUCGAAUGAGAAGUUGAAUGUCCUUUACUGACGUUUAUAUGAAGCUUGGAGUUUCUCUCCGCCCACUAGGAGAUUGACCACAUCUUGUAAGAAGAUGACUUUGAAAAUUUGCAUUUGAGUUUCCCAUUCCUAGA